rnacentral:rRNA from 1 species
ACUCAAAGGAAUUGACGGGGACCCGCACAAGCAGUGGAGUAUGUGGUUUAAUUCGAUGCAACGCGAAGAACCUUACCUGGGCUUGACAUGUUUAGGACGACAUCAGAAAUGGUGUUUCCCCGCAAGGGGCCUUUUCACAGGUGCUGCAUGGCUGUCGUCAGCUCGUGCCGUGAGGUGUUGGGUUAAGUCCCGCAACGAGCGCAACCCUUGUCGUUAGUUGCCAACACGUAAUGGUGGGCACUCUAGCGAGACUGCCUCGGUUAACGAGGAGGAAGGUGAGGAUGACGUCAAGUCCGCAUGGCCCUUAUGCCCAGGGCUACACACGUACUACAAUGGUCGGUACAGAAGGCAGCGAAGUCGUGAGAUGGAGCUAAUCCCAAAAGCCGGCCCCAGUUCAGAUUGUAGUCUGCAACUCGACUACAUGAAGAUGGAAUUGCUAGUAAUGGCGAGUCAGCAUUAUCGCCGUGAAUACGUUCCCGGGUCUUGUACACACCGCCCGU